rnacentral:rRNA from 1 species
CAUUGGAACUGAGACACGGUCCAGACUCCUGCGGAGGCAGCAGUGGGGAGUAUUGCACAAUGGAGGAAACUCUGAUGCAGCAACGCCGCGUGAAGGAUUGAAGGCCAUUCGGUCGUAAACUUCUGUCCUUGGGGAAGAAGAAAGUGACGGUACCCAUGGAGGAAGCCCCGGCUAACUACGUGCCAGCAGCCGCGGUAAUACGUAGGGGGCAAGCGUUAUCCGGAAUCAUUGGGCGUAAAGCGUGCGUAGGCGGUUUUUUAAGCGCAGGGUUUAAGGCUACGGCUUAACUGUAGUUCGCCUUGCGAACUGGAAAACUUGAGUGCAGGAGAGGAAAGCGGAAUUCCUAGUGUAGCGGUGAAAUGCGCAGAUAUUAGGAGGAACACCAGCGGCGAAGGCGGCUUUCUGGACUGUAACUGACGCUGAGGUACGAAAGCGUGGGGAGCCAAACAGGAUUAGAUACCCCUGGUAGUCCACUGCCCGUAAACGAUGAGCACUAGGUGUCGGGUACGCAAGUAUUCGGUGCCUGCAGUUAACGCAUUAAGUGCUCCGCCUGGGGAGUACGUUCGCAAGAAUGAAACUCAAAGGAAUUGACGGGGACCCGCACAAGCAGCGGAGCAUGUGGUUUAAUUCGAAGCAACGCGAAGAACCUUACCAGGGCUUGACAUCCCUCUGACAGGUUGGUAAAACAACCCUCCUUCGGGCAGAGGUGACAGGUGGUGCAUGGUUGUCGUCAGCUCGUGUCGUGAGAUGUUGGGUUAAGUCCCGCAACGAGCGCAACCCUUGUCAUUAGUUGCCAUCAUUUAGUUGGGCACUCUAGUGAGACUGCCGGGGACAACUCGGAGGAAGGUGGGGAUGACGUCAAAUCAUCAUGCCCCUUAUGUUCUGGGCUACACACGUGCUACAAUGGCCGGCACAAAGAGCAGCGAUACCGCGAGGUGGAGCAAAUCUCAAAAACCGGCCCCAGUUCGGAUUGCAGGCUGCAACCCGCCUGCAUGAAGUCGGAGUUGCUAGUAAUCGUGGAUCAGAAUGCCACGGUGAGUGCGUUCCCGGGUCUUGUACACACCGCCCGUCACACCAUGGAAGUUGGGGGCGCCCGAAGUUGGUCAUAAUCGAUUACCUGAAGCGAACCAAUGACUGGG